GGGUUGUGAGGUUAAGCGACUAAGCGUACACGGUGGAUGCCCUGGCAGUCAGAGGCGAUGAAGGACGUGCUAAUCUGCGAUAAGCGUCGGUAAGGUGAUAUGAACCGUUAUAACCGGCGAUUUCCGAAUGGGGAAACCCAGUGUGAUUCGUCACACUAUCAUUAACUGAAUCCAUAGGUUAAUGAGGCGAACCGGGGGAACUGAAACAUCUAAGUACCCCGAGGAAAAGAAAUCAACCGAGAUUCCCCCAGUAGCGGCGAGCGAACGGGGAGGAGCCCAGAGUCUGAAUCAGUGUGUGUGUUAGUGGAAGCGUCUGGAAAGGCGUGCGAUACAGGGUGACAGCCCCGUACACAAAAAUGCACAUACUGUGAGCUCGAUGAGUAGGGCGGGACACGUGGUAUCCUGUCUGAAUAUGGGGGGACCAUCCUCCAAGGCUAAAUACUCCUGACUGACCGAUAGUGAACCAGUACCGUGAGGGAAAGGCGAAAAGAACCCCGGCGAGGGGAGUGAAAAAGAACCUGAAACCGUGUACGUACAAGCAGUGGGAGCACGCUUAGGCGUGUGACUGCGUACCUUUUGUAUAAUGGGUCAGCGACUUAUAUUCUGUAGCAAGGUUAACCGAAUAGGGGAGCCGAAGGGAAACCGAGUCUUAACUGGGCGUUAAGUUGCAGGGUAUAGACCCGAAACCCGGUGAUCUAGCCAUGGGCAGGUUGAAGGUUGGGUAACACUAACUGGAGGACCGAACCGACUAAUGUUGAAAAAUUAGCGGAUGACUUGUGGCUGGGGGUGAAAGGCCAAUCAAACCGGGAGAUAGCUGGUUCUCCCCGAAAGCUAUUUAGGUAGCGCCUCGUGAAUUCAUCUCCGGGGGUAGAGCACUGUUUCGGCAAGGGGGUCAUCCCGACUUACCAACCCGAUGCAAACUGCGAAUACCGGAGAAUGUUAUCACGGGAGACACACGGCGGGUGCUAACGUCCGUCGUGAAGAGGGAAACAACCCAGACCGCCAGCUAAGGUCCCAAAGUCAUGGUUAAGUGGGAAACGAUGUGGGAAGGCCCAGACAGCCAGGAUGUUGGCUUAGAAGCAGCCAUCAUUUAAAGAAAGCGUAAUAGCUCACUGGUCGAGUCGGCCUGCGCGGAAGAUGUAACGGGGCUAAACCAUGCACCGAAGCUGCGGCAGCGACGCUUAUGCGUUGUUGGGUAGGGGAGCGUUCUGUAAGCCUGUGAAGGUGUGCUGUGAGGCAUGCUGGAGGUAUCAGAAGUGCGAAUGCUGACAUAAGUAACGAUAAAGCGGGUGAAAAGCCCGCUCGCCGGAAGACCAAGGGUUCCUGUCCAACGUUAAUCGGGGCAGGGUGAGUCGACCCCUAAGGCGAGGCCGAAAGGCGUAGUCGAUGGGAAACAGGUUAAUAUUCCUGUACUUGGUGUUACUGCGAAGGGGGGACGGAGAAGGCUAUGUUGGCCGGGCGACGGUUGUCCCGGUUUAAGCGUGUAGGCUGGUUUUCCAGGCAAAUCCGGAAAAUCAAGGCUGAGGCGUGAUGACGAGGCACUACGGUGCUGAAGCAACAAAUGCCCUGCUUCCAGGAAAAGCCUCUAAGCAUCAGGUAACAUCAAAUCGUACCCCAAACCGACACAGGUGGUCAGGUAGAGAAUACCAAGGCGCUUGAGAGAACUCGGGUGAAGGAACUAGGCAAAAUGGUGCCGUAACUUCGGGAGAAGGCACGCUGAUAUGUAGGUGAAGUCCCUUGCGGAUGGAGCUGAAAUCAGUCGAAGAUACCAGCUGGCUGCAACUGUUUAUUAAAAACACAGCACUGUGCAAACACGAAAGUGGACGUAUACGGUGUGACGCCUGCCCGGUGCCGGAAGGUUAAUUGAUGGGGUCAGCGCAAGCGAAGCUCUUGAUCGAAGCCCCGGUAAACGGCGGCCGUAACUAUAACGGUCCUAAGGUAGCGAAAUUCCUUGUCGGGUAAGUUCCGACCUGCACGAAUGGCGUAAUGAUGGCCAGGCUGUCUCCACCCGAGACUCAGUGAAAUUGAACUCGCUGUGAAGAUGCAGUGUACCCGCGGCAAGACGGAAAGACCCCGUGAACCUUUACUAUAGCUUGACACUGAACAUUGAGCCUUGAUGUGUAGGAUAGGUGGGAGGCUUUGAAGUGUGGACGCCAGUCUGCAUGGAGCCGACCUUGAAAUACCACCCUUUAAUGUUUGAUGUUCUAACGUGGACCCGUGAUCCGGGUUGCGGACAGUGUCUGGUGGGUAGUUUGACUGGGGCGGUCUCCUCCUAAAGAGUAACGGAGGAGCACGAAGGUUGGCUAAUCCUGGUCGGACAUCAGGAGGUUAGUGCAAUGGCAUAAGCCAGCUUGACUGCGAGCGUGACGGCGCGAGCAGGUGCGAAAGCAGGUCAUAGUGAUCCGGUGGUUCUGAAUGGAAGGGCCAUCGCUCAACGGAUAAAAGGUACUCCGGGGAUAACAGGCUGAUACCGCCCAAGAGUUCAUAUCGACGGCGGUGUUUGGCACCUCGAUGUCGGCUCAUCACAUCCUGGGGCUGAAGUAGGUCCCAAGGGUAUGGCUGUUCGCCAUUUAAAGUGGUACGCGAGCUGGGUUUAGAACGUCGUGAGACAGUUCGGUCCCUAUCUGCCGUGGGCGCUGGAGAACUGAGGGGGGCUGCUCCUAGUACGAGAGGACCGGAGUGGACGCAUCACUGGUGUUCGGGUUGUCAUGCCAAUGGCACUGCCCGGUAGCUAAAUGCGGAAGAGAUAAGUGCUGAAAGCAUCUAAGCACGAAACUUGCCCCGAGAUGAGUUCUCCCUGACUCCUUGAGAGUCCUGAAGGAACGUUGAAGACGACGACGUUGAUAGGCCGGGUGUGUAAGCGCAGCGAUGCGUUGAGCUAACCGGUACUAAUGAACCGUGAGGCUUAACCUUACAACGCCGAAGCUGUU
rnacentral:rRNA from 1 species